rnacentral:lncRNA from 1 species
GGCCUUAAAAAGUAUUUGACAUACUUGGUACUUGGCCGCGUGACUCUGUUCACCAAACAACUCUUGUAGGUGAGCCAACAUUUGGCGGGUAGUCAAAAUAUCUCAUGUUGGCGCUGCAAAUUAUCAGACAUUGCACCCAACAUAUAGUACCUUGCUUUAUUAUCAUCAUCUGUCCACUUUUCUAGAGACGCUCUCUGUUCAGCAG